AUGCUGACUUUCUUUGUGGUGACUCGCCCGCUGGCCUGGCUGCUCUGCCUUCGCCCUGUGGCCAAAGCCCCUACAUUUGAGCGCUGCUGCUCCUCCAGCUUUUGCGUGCUCCCGUUUCUCUCCCUGCAGCAGCAGCAGAGCAGGAGCUUUACAGCCUUUGGCCGAUUUGCUGCAGCAACACAUCCAUGCUGGGAGCCAGCACCCCUAGCAGCUGUCCCAGUUUGCAGAAACUUUCUUGCCUUUUUAAGGACAUGCCGAGUGCUGCACUCUAACUUUAGCACAAAGCCCCAGCGCUCUCCGGCUGAACUCCGCUCGGAAAUCACUGAUUUCAUGGAGCCCUUCAACAACAGCAGCCCCCAUGUGUUUACAUCACUGCCAACACAGCCUCGUGCUGCCGUCCUCUGAUCUUUGCCAAGGAUGCUCCCAUCCUCCCAGAGGCGGGGAAACCUCACCAUGCAGAAAACCUCUGGGUCUUUGCUGUUCCCCAUCAGCGCACCCCCUCUGUGCUGCUGCUCUCCAGACAGAACUCGUGCCUUCAGCCAGAUUCAUGCAGGUGAGAGCCUCAGAGCUGCCUGAAGGGAGAAGAACCACUUGGUGCUCCAUGGGGACAUCCCACGGCAGGGCUGUCCCUGCAGGGCCAUGGACCUGGGCAGGUGCAUGGUCGGUCUGUGCUUGAAUCUCCUUAGGCAGAUGUGAGAUGUUGAAAGUCGCAAGGGCAGAGGCCCCAAACGCAGGGAAGGGGCAGAGCAGCAGCAUCCUUAUAGGUAGCCAACAGGUUGGAAAACAAGGUCUAGAGGACAGCCAGACUCUUGUGUGCACCUCUCUAGUGAACUGUAGGGGUUUUGUUUCUCUCUUAAUGAUGUCCACUGUGUAGUUCUCCUGGAGCUACAUUGUUCUCUAUCAGGUAUCUCAGUCUGAGCAUCCAUGCUGAAAAUCCAGGGAAAUUUGCUAUGGGAACAGCAGAGGUGAUAGAUGAACCUCUUUUCUUCUGCACAGUCUGUGGCCUUUUCAUAGAAUCAUAGAAUCAGAAAUGUUGGAAAGACCUCUAAGAUCACCAUAGUCCAGCCACCAGCCCAUCCCCACCGUGCCCACUGACCACGUCCUCAGUGCCACAUCCACACGGUUCUGGAACACCUCCAGGGAUGGAGACUCCACCACCUCCCUGGGCAGCCUGUGCCACUGCAGCACCGCUCUUUCUGAGAAUUAUUUUUCCUAAAUCACACCAGGCUGUGCCUAUAACUGUGAUCCCCACAUGGGGAGCACCCCUGUUUGGUUGCACCCCUCCACUCCUGUGAGUUCUGAUGUGAAUUCCUCAGGGUUUAAAGCUUGUUCUUCCCACGCUACCUGGCUCACGUCCCAUAACUUAGCCAUGGCAAAGGCAGCAAGAGACAUUUUGGGGCUUGUC
rnacentral:lncRNA from 1 species